rnacentral:rRNA from 1 species
UACAGAGGAUGCGAGCGUUAUCCGGAUUUAUUGGGUUUAAAGGGUGCGUAGGCGGUCCGUUAAGUCAGCGGUAAAAUUGCGGGGCUCAACCCCGUCGAGCCGUUGAAACUGGCAGACUUGAGUUGGCGAGAAGUACGCGGAAUGCGCGGUGUAGCGGUGAAAUGCAUAGAUAUCGCGCAGAACUCCGAUUGCGAAGGCAGCGUACCGGCGCCACACUGACGCUGAGGCACGAAAGCGUGGGGAUCGAACAGG